GGUAAUGCCGGAUGCUCCGGUUGGAUGCAUGUCCUUCCGGGAAAGAUCCAUCGGUAUGGGAUGGGGUCGCGUCCUAUCAGCUUGAUGGCGGGGUAACGGCCCACCAUGGCUUCGACGGGUAGCCGGCCUGAGAGGGCGACCGGCCACAUUGGGACUGAGAUACGGCCCAGACUCCUACGGGAGGCAGCAGUGGGGAAUAUUGCACAAUGGGCGCAAGCCUGAUGCAGCGACGCCGCGUGCGGGAUGGAGGCCUUCGGGUUGUAAACCGCUUUUGAUCGGGAGCAAGCCCUUCGGGGUGAGUGUACCUUUCGAAUAAGCACCGGCUAACUACGUGCCAGCAGCCGCGGUAAUACGUAGGGUGCAAGCGUUAUCCGGAAUUAUUGGGCGUAAAGGGCUCGUAGGCGGUUCGUCGCGUCCGGUGUGAAAGCCCAUCGCUUAACGGUGGGUCUGCGCCGGGUACGGGCGGGCUGGAGUGCGGUAGGGGAGACUGGAAUUCCCGGUGUAACGGUGGAAUGUGUAGAUAUCGAAAAA
rnacentral:rRNA from 1 species